GAUGAACGCUGGCGGCGUGCCUAAUACAUGCAAGUCGAGCGAACAGACGAGGAGCUUGCUCCUCUGACGUUAGCGGCGGACGGGUGAGUAACACGUGGAUAACCUACCUAUAAGACUGGGAUAACUUCGGGAAACCGGAGCUAAUACCGGAUAAUAUAUUGAACCGCAUGGUUCAAUAGUGAAACACGGUUUUGCUGUCACUUAUAGAUGGAUCCGCGCCGCAUUAGCUAGUUGGUAAGGUAACGGCUUACCAAGGCGACGAUGCGUAGCCGACCUGAGAGGGUGAUCGGCCACACUGGAACUGAGACACGGUCCAGACUCCUACGGGAGGCAGCAGUAGGGAAACUUCCGCAAUGGGCGAAAGCCUGACGGAGCAACGCCGCGUGAGUGAUGAAGGUCUUCGGAUCGUAAAACUCUGUUAUUAGGGAAGAACAAAUGUGUAAGUAACUAUGCACGUCUUGACGGUACCUAAUCAGAAAGCCACGGCUAACUACGUG
rnacentral:rRNA from 1 species